CCUGGUGAUGAUAGCGGAGGGGCCACACCCGUUCCCAUUCCGAACACGGAAGUUAAGCCCUCCAGCGCCGAUGGUACUGCAGGGGCAACCCUGUGGGAGAGUAGGUCGUCGCCAGGC
rnacentral:rRNA from 1 species